UUUUACUUAGUGGAAAAUUAUUUCAUUCUCAAUAUCUCAAUAUCUCAGUUUGAAUGGACGUGUUUAAAUCAGUUAGAAUCAACCUCUGCCAAUAGAGCAGUGGGGAAUGAAGAGCAGGUAGGAAUGAAGAGCAAACAACGGAAAUUAUGUCAAUUUUUGCUACGAGCUGUAACAAAUGCGUGUCACCCUUGAAGUUAUCGAUUUUUUGGCGAAAGUGAUCAGCGUUAAUGAAAAUUUCAUGGAAACCAGCAAAUCCACGAACCAUUGCAGCGGCAGACUCAACCAACGUCACUUUGACUUUAGUCUGCUCAUAUUCUAUGUCAGUCAGUUCAUGAACGGGUUGGCCGAAAUCUGCAAGACAUUCAUCAAUCUUGCCGUUUAUCUGAAAUGAAACAUACAAAUCGGUAGAAUCAA